rnacentral:rRNA from 1 species
AUUGAACGCUGGCGGCAUGCCUUACACAUGCAAGUCGAACGGCAGCACGGGUGCUUGCUCCUGGGGGCGAGUGGCGAACGGGUGAGUAAUACAUCGGAACAUGUCCUGUAGCGGGGGAUAGCCCGGCGAAAGCCGGAUUAAUACCGCAUACGAUCCACGGUUGAAAGCGGGGGACCUUCGGGCCUCGCGCUGUAGGGUUGGCCGAUGGCUGAUUAGCUAGUUGGUGGGGUAAAGGCCUACCAAGGCGACGAUCAGUAGCUGGUCUGAGAGGACGACCAGCCACACUGGGACUGAGACACGGCCCAGACUCCUACGGGAGGCCGCAGUGGGGAAUUUUAGACAAUGGGCGAAAGCCUGAUCCAGCAAUGCCGCGUGUGUGAAGAAGGCCUUCGGGUUGUAAAGAACGUUUGUCCGGAAAGAAAUCCUUGACUCUAAUACAGUCGGGGGGUGACGGUACCGGAAGAAUAAGCACCGGCUAACUACGUG